rnacentral:rRNA from 1 species
CCUACGGGAGGCAGCAGUGAGGAAUAUUGGUCAAUGGGCGCGAGCCUGAACCAGCCAAGUCGCGUGAAGGAUGACUGCCCUACGGGUUGUAAACUUCUUUUAUAAAGGAAUAAAGUGAGGCACGUGUGCCUUUUUGUGUGUACUUUAUGAAUAAGGAUCGGCUAACUCCGUGCCAGCAGCCGCGGUAAUACGGAGGAUCCGAGCGUUAUCCGGAUUUAUUGGGUUUAAAGGGAGCGUAGAUGGGUUGUUAAGUCAGUUGUGAAAGUUUGCGGCUCAACCGUAAAAUUGCAGUUGAUACUGGCAGUCUUGAGUACAGGAGAGGUAGGCGGAAUGCGUGGUGUAGCGGUGAAAUGCUUAGAUAUCACGAAGAACUCCGAUUGCGAAGGCAGCUUACUAGACGGGCACUGACAUUGAGGCUCGAAAGCGUGGGUAUCGAACAGGAUUAGAUACCCGAGUAGUC